CCUACGGGGGGCAGCAGUGGGGGAUAUUGCACAAUGGGGGAAACCCUGAUGCAGCAACGCCGCGUGAGUGACGAAGGUCUUCGGAUUGUAAAACUCUGUUCUUGGUGAAGAUAAUGACGGUAGCCAAGGAGAAAGCUCCGGCUAACUACGUGCCAGCAGCCGCGGUAAUACGUAGGGAGCGAGCGUUGUCCGGAAUUACUGGGUGUAAAGGGUGCGUAGGCGGCCUUGCAAGUCAGGCGUGAAAACCAUGGGCUCAACCCGUGGACUGCGUUUGAAACUGUGAGGCUUGAGUGAAGUAGAGGUAG
rnacentral:rRNA from 1 species